rnacentral:rRNA from 1 species
UGAAUUUUCCGCAAUGGGCGAAAGCCUGACGGAGCAAUGCCGCGUGAAGGAUGAAGGCCUAUGGGUUGUAAACUUCUUUUCUCAGAGAAGAAUUUUGACGGUAUCUGAGGAAUAAGCAUCGGCUAACUCUGUGCCAGCAGCCGCGGUAAGACAGAGGAUGCAAGCGUUAUCCGGAAUGAUUGGGCGUAAAGCGUCUGUAGGUGGCUUCAAAAGUCUCCUGUCAAAGAUCAGGGCUUAACCCUGGGCCGGCAGGAGAAACUCUGAGGCUAGAGUUUGGUAGGGGCAGAGGGAAUUCCCGGUGGAGCGGUGAAAUGCGUAGAGAUCGGGAGGAACACCAAAGGCGAAAGCACUCUGCUGGGCCAUAACUGACACUGAGAGACGAAAAGCGGAAGGGGAGGAAUUUU